rnacentral:lncRNA from 1 species
AUUUGUGAUCCUCACUGGCAGUCCAAUUUUCGCACCUGCAAACAGAAGCAUCACAUCGCUUCUACGACAAAGGAUUGCUUCUGUGAAAAUCAUGCCCAGCUUCUGCCUCAGCCCGCUUCUGCGUCUUUAAGACAUCGCACCUGCGCAAUACUGUCCGCAUCUGCGACGGUCGCUUCUGCGAGGUUGCUUCUACGACUAGGACAUCGCAGAAGUGAUGCACCAGCAGUCCAGAAACAGCAAAAAUUCCAGAAGCUUUCAAGUCCAAAUUGAUUCGUUAACCACCCGAGCCCUCAAGCAGAUGGAAAACGGUACACAAUCAAAGUCACAACCACCUGUUGCUGAUUCCAAUGCUACUGAGAUGAAAGUACAACUUGUCAAUUAAUCUCUACUUUGUGAUCCUUCAGCUAGGUACUCCAUUUUCUUUUUUUAAUUAAAGGAAAUUUUAAUGUGUGCUGGAGCAUAUAAAUUAAUAAAAAAUUACUCCAUCUAUUCCAAAUUUUGUGACAUUUUUGUUUUUCGAGAUUUAAAAUAUAUGUGAACUAAAACCAACAAUUUUUUAAAAAAUUGUUUUAUCACAGACAUGGGAAUAAUUGCAACCUAUAGUAUUUUUCAUAUAUUUUGGAAUAUCUACAUAAUUUUAAUUUUAAAAUAUUGAGUUAAUAAUAAUCCAAUAGUUUUGUAAUCUUGAAAAAUGGAAAAUGACACAUAUUUUCAAAUUAAAACUAUAGACAGAAUGUAUAAGUCCAGAGUCCGACAUUUUUGUUCAUUUUUAGAGUUUGACCCUGGUUUUGGGCGAUUUCAGAUGGAUUUUUCACGAGUUUGAUUUGGAUUUGAUUGGGUUGGAGACUAAUUGGAAAGGAAAAGUUGUGGUAGAGUGAUCACUUGAAUUGUGAAGAAAGGUAAGUGUCGUGGUUUACCUUAACUUGAGGGAAUAGAACCCUUGAACUAUGUGUUACGUGAAUUUCAUGUGUAACGACGUAUAGGCGAGGUGACGAGUGUCUAUACAUCGCCAAAUUGCUUGUUUCCUUGUUUAUUCGUAUUUCAUGAAUUGCUUUAUUUCAUGACUUAAUUGUUAUAGUAAUUGUUUCUCUUAUCUCCAUUGCUUAAUAUUAUGCCGUCAAUUCCUGCUUUAAUUGUUACAUGCUUAUUUGACUUAUGUGUCAUAAUUGCUAUUUGACAUUUAGCGUUAUAUAUAGUAGAUACCUAUGAAUUCAUACCUUUAAAAAUACAACGAGUUUAAUUAUAAAAAUCUUAAAGGUUGAAUCCAUAGAACUUAAACUAUACGCUUACACUACUAAACACAGGCUCUAAACCGCGGGAAAAACAUUAUAAUUUUGGUAUCGAGGUCAACUUGUACACCUCGACAAAUUCUACGGGAUACUUGUUACCUCUUACUAACACAGAUACGGAAUAACUCUAUCCGUCAAGAGUUAGACAAAUUAAAACAAAUUACAGUAGCGUUUUUGCCUAUAAAUUUUAGAUUUACUUGGUCUCCUCUUCUACUUUUUGCUUAAUUUUUAAGUGAAUAAUACCAUCUAAUUAAAUAAUAAAAUGGUAUCACCAGACACUAAAAGGUGACGAAGGUUGUUUUCACUUCAUCAAGUGGAGCGUUGUUACAUGGCCCCAAACGUCAAGUGGAGAAGACUUGCUGGAGUGGGGAAAACUAAACAGAAUAUAUUCAAAGUAGCAAAGCCGAUAAAUAGUCCAAGGUGUAGUUUUCCCUCUCAU